ACAAUUUCUGACUAAAGUAUAAGCGACAGCGUUUAUUUCUCUGCCCGAAGUUCGGUGAUGCACAGCAUUUGAAGUCAUAGGAUAGAUUUACAACUUUGAGAAUGGAUUCCCAAAUGAGUAUGACGUCACUGGUGUUGAUGAUGGCACUGUUGGCCUAUCUGCUGGUCGCUAUGGUGGCGGGGUUCAGCGUGAAGAAGACAGGGGACUGCUACUGGGUGUGCGUGGACAAGUGUGACCCCUAUGGCAUGUGCUCGCCUAGCUGUGAGACAUUAUGCUAACAGCCUACGAAGAUGACAGCGUUAAGUUCCAACACUGAAGACCACAAUUGUAGUUUAGGGUGCAUUUAUUUGUAUUUUUUAUAUUUGUCGUAUUAACAAAAGCAAUGAGUAAUCAUGAAAUCCUGUAGUUACCAUGCUAUAAUAAAACGAGUCAGUCUCCAAGAAA